UGUACAUGCAUGGACAGGACACGAUCUGAACCACUAUCGCAGACCACACUUGCAUCAAAAGCGCAUGGAAAGACUCUGAACACUGCAUUUGUGCCGACAGGCUGAGGCUCCACUGGGGGGAAAGGAAAGAGACCAAGACCCAAGAGAUAGCCUCAGUGGUCCCUAACUCUCUAACGGUAAGGGUAGCAGAGGAGACAUACACGAGGCAGUGUGUUCAGAAGAACCAAGGGCAUUUGGGCUGCGUUACCCCUUUAGCCCUCUAGUGGGCGACCUCCUCUCUCAUAUCAGGCCUGGAGGGACAUGGCCAUCUAAAAGACUCCUCUCUCUACCACCUUCCACCACUCCCUCUAUCAUUCUCUCUUUUCAACAACGUAAC
rnacentral:lncRNA from 1 species